AGCGUGGGGAGCGAACAGGAUUAGAUACCCUGGUAGUCCACGCCGUAAACGAUGCUAACUCGUUUUUGGGCUUUAGGGUUCAGAGACCAAGCGAAAGUGAUAAGUUAGCCACCUGGGGAGUACGCUCGCAAGGGUGAAACUCAAAGGAAUUGACGGGGGCCCGCACAAGCGGUGGAGCAUGUGGUUUAAUUCGAUGCAACGCGAAGAACCUUACCUGGGCUUGACAUGGGAACGACCGCUCGAGAGAUCGAGCUUUCUCUUCGGAGACGUUCCGCACAGGUGCUGCAUGGCUGUCGUCAGCUCGUGUUGUGAGAUGUUCGGUUAAGUCCGGCAACGAGCGCAACCCUCGUCCUUAGUUGUCAUCAGGUAAAGCUGGACCCUCUAGGGAGACUGCCGCGGAAAACGCGGAGGAAGGUGGGGAUGACGUCAAGUCCUCAUGGCCCUUACGCCCAGGGCUACACACGUGCUACAAUGGUCGGUACAAUGGGAAGCAAUGCCGCGAGGCGGAGCUAAUCCUUAAAGCCGUCCUCAGUUCGGAUUGGAGGCUGCAACUCGCCUCCAUGAAGCUGGAAUCGCUAGUAAUCGUGGAUCAGCAUGCCACGGUGAAUACGUUCCCGGGCCUUGUACACACCGCCCGUCAAGCCACGAAAGAAGAGAGCGCUCCAAGUCGCCAAGCUAACCCUCACCGGAAGCCAGCGCCUAAAGCGAGAUCUUUGAUUGGGGCUAAGUCGUAACAAGGUAGCCGUAUCGGAAGGUGCGGCUG
rnacentral:rRNA from 1 species